GGAGAGUAGGAUGGGAUGCUAGGCUAGUGAACGAGUCCUAUCCAUGGGUGGAGAAACAGAUUGUUCACCAGCCUAAACUAGCACCAUGGCAAGAUGCCUUCAAGGACAGUCUUUUAGAUGUUGGGGUCUCACCUUAUAAUGGAUUCACCUACGAUCAUAUCUAUGGAACUAAAGUUGGAGGCACCAUUUUCGACCGAUUUGGCCGUCGUCAUACGGCGGCUGAGCUUCUUGCUUCUGCUAACCCGAAAAUGCUUACUGUUUUAGUGUAUGCCACUGUCCAAAAAGUCUUAUUCGAUAAAUCAGCAGGGAAGAGGCCAAAGGCAAUGGGAGUGAUGUUCAAAGAUGAAAACGGGAACCAACAUCAGGCAUUUUUGACUAAUAAUCGAAGGAGUGAAGUGAUUUUAUCAUGUGGUGCAAUUGGGACUCCUCAAUUGCUAAUGCUUAGUGGCAUUGGACCCAAAGCUGAACUACAGAGGUUGAACAUUUCCAUGGUGUUGCAUAAUGAGUUUGUUGGAAAGGGCAUGGCUGAUAACCCGAUGAACUCGGUUUUCGUCCCGAUGACACGUUCUGUGGAACAAUCUCUGAUACAAACUGUUGGCAUUACCAAGAUGGGUGUUUACGUCGAAGCUAGCAGUGGAUUCGGACAGUCCCAGGACAGCAUUUAUUGUCAUCAUGGAUUGUUGUCUGCUGAGAUAGGGCAACUCUCAACAGUUCCACCAAAGCAAAGAACACGACAAGCCAUUGAAGAAUUCAUCAAAAGGAAACGAGACCUUCCACGUGAGGCUUUCAAGGGAGGUUUCAUUUUAGAGAAGAUUGCAAUGCCCCUUUCCACUGGCCACCUCAACCUAAUCAACACAAACAUCGACAACAACCCUUCGGUUACCUUCAACUACUUCGGCCACCCCCGCGACCUACGCAGAUGCGUCAAUGGGAUCCGGAUGGCUGCCAAGGUUAUACAAUCGGACCGAUUCACGAACUUCACCAAGUGUGACAAACCGACCGUAGAGAAGCUUCUUAACAUGAGUGUCAAGGCUAACAUUAACCUUAUA
rnacentral:lncRNA from 1 species